UUCUGGCUCAGGAGUGAACGCUGGCGGCGUGCCUAACACAUGCAAGUCGAACGGGGUACUGGCAGCGGAGAUUCGGUCAAGCAGCCUUAACCUAGUGGCGGACGGGUGAGUAACGCGUGGGGAACCUGCCCUGUACUGGGGGAUAACAGUGAGAAAUCACUGCUAAUACCGCAUAAGCGCACAGCAUCGCAUGAUGCAGUGUGAAAAACUGAGGUGGUACAGGAUGGCUCCGCGUUGGAUUAGCCAGUUGGCGGGGUAACGGCCCACCAAAGCGACGAUCCAUAGCCGGCCUGAGAGGGUGAACGGCCACAUUGGGACUGAGACACGGCCCAGACUCCUACGGGAGGCAGCAGUGGGGAAUAUUGCACAAUGGGGGAAACCCUGAUGCAGCCGACGCCGCGUGAAGGAAGAAGUAUCUCGGUAUGUAAACUUCUAUCAGCAGGGAAGAUGAUGACGGUACCUGACUAAGAAGCCCCGGCUAACUACGUGCCAGCCGCUGC
rnacentral:rRNA from 1 species